UGGCCAAAAUUUUAGCAUCUAAAAUUGUGUAUACAAUUCAAUGUACUAAAUUUAAAUUAAGAUUGUAAAAUAAAUAAAAAUUACAUUGUAUUAUUCUAUUUUCAUUUCUGUCAUUAGGAAUCUCAAGCUGUCAUUACAAUUCUUAUACAAAUUUUAAGAUGUAUGCGCUUAAGAUGCAUUUUCAUAUGUUUACAAAUUUUAAGAUGAAUGGUAAUAGUAUAGUUUAAGAUGUAUGGACAUUUUUUUUAUUUUACCCUGCAGCAUAGCUGCCAACUCUACUGGAUCUGCCAGCAGACUACUGGAUUUUGCCAUUUUCUUCUGGCUUCUCUACAUUUAGAUCUAUAACUUUUGUACAUUUUAGAUCUAUAAUUGAGUUUUCAAAAAAUCGCCCAUUAAAAAUGAGAUUUUACUCAAUUUAUUGCUUGGUUGAAUAUUUUAAAAAGUAUUACUAAUACAUAAUGAAAUGGACCUCGCAGGAAUCAGUUUCAAGCUUUUCUUUUUCUUUGCUCUAAAAAUUUGUUUCUUUUUUUUCAGAACUCCCUUUUUAAAUUAAAUCUUUUAACUGUCAAUAAUUAUUUACUUGUCUACUACUAUUUAAAAUUAUGAGUUAACAUAAAAAAAUUUCGAAUUCAUUUAAUGCCAAUCAUAAAGAAAAAAUAUUGCAGACCAUUUAUAGACAUUAUGGUAAUAAAGUUUUUGUAUUUUGAUGACAAUAAAAAUCCCUAAAAUUCUCUAUAUGUAAAAUAUUUAGUAUAUUAUGGAGCAGUUACCGUGAAAUUUAUAAUAUUUCUUAUCCAUCUUGAUUGCUGUUCUGCAGGAAACAAAAUAUUGUUACUGCUGUAAAAACUUUUAUAUAUUUUGUACAAAGACUUAUCUAAUAUAAACUAAUCAGGAACAAAAAUUUUCAAUAAUGUUAAAAUAAACUCAUAAAGGGUUAGGAUGGUAAUAGCAGCAAUAAAAAUAGUUCAAUUUACUUUAUUCAAUAUACCAAAGCAGGAUUGCUAAAUAUUUCCAUACAAAUAUUCUUUUUUCGUUCUAAAUCAGCUGCCACUGAGAAUAAGUGUUAAAUGAGUUACUAGUGGCCAUGAAACUGUUGAAAAGGCUAGGAAGUCAAACUCAGUGCAAAAGUAUUUUUAAUAUUUGUGCUUCGUCUGGGCUGCUGGAUAAUGCAAAUGGAAAAUGACAUUCUGGUAGAAUACGAGGACCCGUAAGUUCAAUCCUGACAGAAAACAAAACAACUGAUGUGUAUAUGCUGUUAGAUUCUCUUUAAAUCUGCCGGAGCUGAAAGUCCUCUUGUUGUUGUGCAGAAGUUUGAAGAAAGGCGUAUCUCUGUGUGAUUCAUCCCUGCUGUGUGUUUGUUUGGUUGCUGACAAUUUUAUAAAAUCUUUCAAUAAAGCAGAUUCAUCAGUUUAUUGCUCUGAUAUAUAGUUGCACAUAAACAAAAAAUUGCAAUUGAAGGGGAAAGAACUGCAUGAAAUAAAUUACUGUAAA